rnacentral:rRNA from 1 species
AGAACGAACGCUGGCGGCAGGCUUAACACAUGCAAGUCGAGCGAGAAACCGGGCUUCGGCCUGGCGGACAGCGGCGAACGGGUGAGUAACGCGUGGGUAAUCUGCCCUCGGCAUCGGGAUAGCCCGGGGAAACCCGGAUUAAUACCGGAUAGCCCAUCCGCUCUGAGGAGCGGCUGGAAAAGGUAGCUUUGGCCUCCGGCCGAGGAGGAGCCCGCGGCGGAUUAGCUUGUUGGUGAGGUAACGGCUCACCAAGGCUACGAUCCGUAGCUGGUCUGAGAGGACGAUCAGCCACACUGGGACUGAGACACGGCCCAGACUCCUACGGGAGGCAGCAGUGGGGAAUCUUGCGCAAUAGGCGAAAGCCUGACGCAGCGACGCCGCGUGCGGGAAGAAGGCCUUCGGGUUGUAAACCGCUUUCAGGAGGGACGAAGCCACUCAGGUUAAUAGCCGAGAGGGUGACGGUACCUUCAGAAGAAGCCCCGGCUAACUACGUGCCAGCAGCCGCGGUAAUACGUAGGGGGCAAGCGUUGUCCGGAUUUAUUGGGCGUAAAGAGCGUGUAGGCGGCCAGAUAGGUCUGCUGUGAAAACUCGAGGCUCAACCUCGAGAUGUCGGCAGAAACCAUUUGGCUAGAGUCCGGAAGAGGAGAGCGGAAUUCCUGGUGUAGCGGUGAAAUGCGCAGAUAUCAGGAAGAACACCCGUGGCGAAGGCGGCUCUCUGGGACGGUACUGACGCUGAGACGCGAAAGCGUGGGGAGCGAACAGGAUUAGAUACCCUGGUAGUCCACGCUGUAAACGAUGGGUGCUAGGUGUGGGCGGUGUCGACUCCGUCCGUGCCGCAGCUAACGCAUUAAGCACCCCGCCUGGGGAGUACGGCCGCAAGGCUAAA